GGUUCUAUAGUGAAGUGGUAUCAUUUCUACCUUAUCUUCUGCCCUCAGUUCUCUGCAAGCAAUCGAUUAGUAGACGACCUAGGUUCGAUUCCUAGUAGAACUU